GUGAGGAUCAGUAGAUGGGAGCCAGUAGCCCUACCUCAUUGUUGUCAUGAGUUACCAUGAGUUAUCAUCAGUGACUGAAGGUGAGACAGUGAAAUCCUCCACUUGAAGCUCACAGCCUAGAAUUUCUGUAGUUUCUACAAACAUGUUCCUGAUAGGACUGUUGGACAAAUAACUUACAGAAGACUUCUGUAAGAAACGAUAGCAGA
rnacentral:lncRNA from 1 species